rnacentral:lncRNA from 1 species
UUUAAAAUACUAUUGGUAAAAGUACUUGGUCUACCACUAGGUGACAGUGUUUGACCACAAAGUGUUAUUGUGCUUGCCCUUAGUGGGAAACAAGAAAACUGCUUACUUGUUGGGUCCUACUGUGGAGUUUGUAUUGUUCUCCCACAGUCCAGAAACAUGUUCGUAAAGUCUGAUGGAAAUAAAUCAGCCUUCGGUGUGGUCUGGUAACCUGUGACAGCAGGGAAACAAUGUAAACUAUUUAAAAGCAAUGACAAACAAAAACCCAUUUAAUACACUUAGCUUUUCUAACGCAUUAUGUCUAAAUAUCUUAAUAUGAGUUCCACUAGCUCUCAAGAGACGGGAUUUAACAGAUGUCCGUGAACGCCGCAUGAACUCUCGGCGGUCCCUUUGAAGUGCAGUUUGUGGCUGGAGCUGAAGCUGCCCUCGGAGGCUAAAGCCCACACCCCACACCCGCCGCCACCUUGAACUGGGAAAAAAAAUCAUGAUUGACUUUGAGGAGGCAGACUUCAUUUUGGAAACUCAGAAAAGAAAAAGAAAAAAAGACAAAAAACACAAAACCAACUUGACUGUGAAACCAGAAGAGAGCAUCCAGAAGAAAAGGAAAAAGAAAAACUCCCAGCUCAAAGAAGAAAAGCAGGAAAGGAAACAAAAGAAAAAGGAAAAGAAGAAAGAAAAGCAAAGAAGGAGACUGGCUUUAGAGCUAGACAGCAGUGUUGUAUUUAAACAGUGCAGUAGUGCCCAGGAAAAACUUUUUGAGAAGCCUGAAGCAUCAAAGCCACAACAAAAUGAAAAGCUGAAGCCUGAUCGUCUGACUCAAGACUCCAAAAAGAAAUGCAAAAGAAAAAAAAAAGUGGUGUUUGAUGUGUCACCCUGUUACAUCCGUGUCAAACGGCCUAAAUUUGCAUCAUCAUCCACGAAAGAGGAGCAGGCUGUGAAAGGCGCUGAGAGCUGUUCACAGGACGCAGUGACGGGGAACAGCCAGAGUCACGAUCAGGACUCUCAGGGCACCAGUGAUGACAUCAACAGCCAGGACUUGUUUAUUACCCAGAAGACUUUCAGAACAUCGCUCUCCGAACCCUCCAGCGGGGAAGUCAGUGACGGAGCUCUUAUGCUAUCUCCUCAGUUGCGAACACAGCAAGGCGAGUGCCAACAGCUUAAACUAUUUCAUGAAGAAUCAGAAAAAUGGCCACAUGACUCACAGCCUCAUCAGUGCUUUGUGCAGCCAAACCCAGAAGAACCUGAAGAAGGUAAAGGAUAUCAUAAGAUACAUGAGCAGAGAAAAAGAUCCUUCCUGAAACAAGAAAAUAGAAACUUAUCUGAAGAGCAAAGAGUCUCACGUUCAGUGCAUUUAAAGAUCGGUGUGGGGCAUCCUUUCCUGGAGGAGCCAAUCAUUGUAAACUCCUCCCUGGAUCUUGGAGAGAGCAACACCUGCCCUCCAAAUCAGCGUUCCCCUUCAUGCCUGCCACAUGUUAAUAAGUCACUGCUUCCUGCCAGGUCCACAGUGAGCUCUUCCACACAGACAGAAAACUUCUUCACCACUGAGCUCUCCUCCUACCUCAGCUUCUGCCAGAAAAGUAGACCAGCUGUUUGUUUCGAUGACAUGAAACCUUUAGACCUGAGCCUUCCACACAGGGUGAGAAAAGACCGCGGGAGCUGUUUGUCAGUAAUGGAGGUCAACCAUGAAGGAGAAGGAGGCAUGGGUCCAUCUGGGUCUUCACUUGUGAAAGAAAAUCAGGUGCUUUUGGGUCGAGGAGAAACAACUCCCAGUCCGCAGUUGUCAGAAUCUGAUCAAAAGUCUGCUGAUACAACGACGUCCAGCGAGGACAGCGAGCAGCCGUGCCGCGCUGGCAAGCUGGACCUGAUUCAGGUCAGAGCAGUCCAGAUGAAACUCAACGAAUCCUUCUUUUUCAAGCCCAAAGGAGAGGGACGGUCGCCCAGGCCAGAGUCACCGCUGAUGAAACUCUCUCAGGGCAGAGACACUAAAAGGAGGAAGAGCCGCUGA